rnacentral:rRNA from 1 species
AGAGUUUGAUCCUGGCUCAGGACGAACGCUGGCGGCGUGCUUAACACAUGCAAGUCGAGGGCAGGCAGCAAUGCCUGACCGGCGAACGGGUGCGUAACACGUGAGCGACCUUCCGUCUUCUGGGGGAUAGCCGGCCCAACGGCCGGGUAAUACCGCAUACGCUCUUGGGGCCGCAUGGCCUUAUGAGGAAACUUCCGGGGGAGGACGAGGGGCUCGCGGCCUAUCAGCUAGUUGGUGCGGUAACGGCGCACCAAGGCGACGACGGGUAGCUGGUCUGAGAGGAUGGCCAGCCACAUUGGGACUGAGAGACGGCCCAGACUCCUACGGGAGGCAGCAGUGGGGAAUCUUGCGCAAUGGCCGAAAGGCUGACGCAGCGACGCCGCGUGUGGGAGGAAGCUCUUCGGGGUGUAAACCACUGUUGCCCGGGACGAACAGCACUAUUCGUAGUGCCUGACGGUACCGGGUGAGGAAGCACCGGCUAACUCUGUGCCAGCAGCCGCGGUAAUUC